rnacentral:ncRNA from 1 species
UGAUAACUGCCACCGGGUAGAAGAUGCUUAAAGCGUCCGUUUACACAUCGUUAGGUCUUUGAAGAUGUGUACGCGGGCGUUUUUUUGAA